GUAGGUAUAGUUUAAUAGGUAAAACAACUGUAUGUGGCAUAGCAUAUCCUUGUUCAACUCAAGGUACCCACC
rnacentral:tRNA from 1 species